UAAUACCUAUAGGUUACAGAUGCUGGAAUGCUCUGUAACUCAAAGCUCCGGCGCCUUAGGAUGGAUCUGCGGCCGAUUAGGUUGUUGUUGGGGUAACGGCCCAACAAGCCAGUAAUCGGUACGGGUUGUGGGAGCAAGAGCCCGGAGUUGGAUUCUGAGACACGAAUCCAGGCCCUACGGGGCGCAGCAGGCGCGAAAACUUUACAAUGCGGGCAACCGUGAUAAGGGAACCCCGAGUGCCCGUAUACGCGGGCUGUCCAGGUGUCUAAAACGCAUCUGAAGAAAGGGCCGGGCAAGACCGGUGCCAGCCGCCGCGGUAAUACCGGCGGCUCGAGUGGUGACCACUUUUAUUGGGCUUAAAGCGUUCGUAGCUGGACUCUUAAGUCUCUUGGGAAAUCCCGCGGCUUAACCGUGGGGCGUUUAAGAGAUACUGGGAGUCUAGGAACCGGGAGAGGUAAGAGGUACUUCGGGGGUAGAAGUGAAAUUCUGUAAUCCUCGAGGGACCACCGAUGGCGAAGGCAUCUUACCAGAACGGCUUCGACAGUGAGGAACGAAAGCUGGGGGAGCGAACGGGAUUAGAUACCCCGGUAGUCCCAGCCGUAAACGAUGCGCGUUAGGUGU
rnacentral:rRNA from 1 species